rnacentral:rRNA from 1 species
CCCUAGUACAAUUCCCUUGAGUUGAUCAUGGCUCGAACGAACGCUGGCGGCAGGCUUAACACAUGCAAGUCGAACGCGUGUAGCAAUACACGAGUGGCGCACGGGUGAGUAACGCGUGGAUAUCUGCCUUUUGGUUCGGAAUAACCCCGGGAAACUGGGGCUAAUACCGGAUGGUUCCUUCGGGAUAAAGAUUUAUCGCCAAAAGAUGAGUCCGCGUACGAUUAGCUAGUUGGUGAGGUAAUGGCUCACCAAGGCGACGAUCGUUAGCUGGUCUGAGAGGACGAUCAGCCACACUGGGACUGAGACACGGCCCAGACUCCUACGGGAGGCAGCAGUGGGGAAUAUUGGACAACGGGGGCAACCCUGAUCCAGCCAUGCCGCGUGAGUGAUGAAGGCCUUCGGGUUGUAAAGCUCUUUUGGCGGGGACGAUGAUGACGGUACCCGCAGAAUAAGCCCCGGCUAACUUCGUGCCAGCAGCCGCGGUAAGACGAAGGGGGCUAGCGUUGUUCGGAAUUACUGGGCGUAAAGCGCGUGUAGGCGGUUGUUCAAGUCGGGUGUGAAAGCCUUGAGCUCAACUCAAGAAAUGCACUCGAUACUGGAUGACUCGAGGACCGGAGAGGAUAGUGGAAUUCCCAGUGUAGUGGUGAAAUACGUAGAGAUUGGGAAGAACACCAGUGGCGAAGGCGGCUAUCUGGACGGUUUCUGACGCUGAGACGCGAAAGCGUGNGGAGCAAUCANGAUUAGAUACCCUGGUAGUCCACGCCGUAAACGAUGGGUGCUAGACGUUG